rnacentral:tRNA from 1 species
GGGAUUAUAAUUUAAUGGUAGAAUGUUAACUUUGCAAGUUAAUAAUUCGAGUUCAAUUCUCGAUGAUUCCA